rnacentral:rRNA from 1 species
GAUGAACGCUGGCGGCGUGCCUAAUACAUGCAAGUCGAGCGAACAGAUAAGGAGCUUGCUCCUUUGACGUUAGCGGCGGACGGGUGAGUAACACGUGGAUAACCUACCUAUAAGACUGGGAUAACUUCGGGAAACCGGAGCUAAUACCGGAUAACAUAUUGAACCGCAUGGUUCAAUAGUGAAAGGCGGCUUUGCUGUCACUUAUAGAUGGAUCCGCGCCGUAUUAGCUAGUUGGUAAGGUAACGGCUUACCAAGGCAACGAUACGUAGCCGACCUGAGAGGGUGAUCGGCCACACUGGAACUGGGACACGGUCCAGACUCCUACGGGAGGCAGCAGUAGGGAAUCUUCCGCAAUGGGCGAAAGCCUGACGGAGCAACGCCGCGUGAGUGAUGAAGGUCUUCGGAUCGUAAAACUCUGUUAUCAGGGAAGAACAAAUGUGUAAGUAACUGUGCACAUCUUGACGGUACCUGAUCAGAAAGCCACGGCUAACUACGUG